AUGGAAACUCUAUGCUGACUCCAUGGUGUGGGAGCAAUACACAUUGCUGGCUUUGGGCAGCACCCAGCGGGGGCUCACCCACGUGCCCCAGCCCCACACAUGGGGGGCAGGCAGGCGGGGACUGGCUGUGCUACAGGAUGAGUUUCAUCGGCUUCUGCAGAGACAUCUCUGAGCUAUCUGUGCAAGAGGAAACUCCACACCUUCAGCAAGAGGUUUGUCAGCUGAUAUGAGCUGCAGGGCACACCCCUGCUUCCCCUCCCCUCUCCUAUCCCUCCUGUCUGAGGGUGGCAGUUAAACUCCUGAGCUGCACGGAGAUAUGUGCUCAUUCUCUCCACUGUGCUGACUUUUUCCAUGGUGUAAAAUGCAUAUCUGAAGAAAAGGAAAAGGCAAAUGGAAUGAGUCUGGUGUGAAUGUAGGAGGUGAUAAAUGAGCAGAGAAGCAAGUCAGCAAAAGGAAGAAGGCUGAUCCAAUGCAAUGCUGUGUACAGAGCUGUGUCAUGUGGCUUCCUCAUUUACACCACGCAGACAUCACUGCAGCCAUUGCUCUGCUCAGGAACCUCGCCUCCCCUCCGUGGGACGAUGAAUGUCCACAAUCUUGGGAGCAAAAGUCACCUUCUGUGCCCAGAGCUGUGAGAUGGAGUGCACUCAGGCCUGUACAAAAUGUGUAACUUCCUCCAGCACUUCUGCUGCAGAGAUUGGCAGAUCGCUGAGUGCCAGUGCUGGAGUUAGCACUGCUUAUCUGCACCUCAUUUACACUGAAUCCUGCGUGGGGAACUUCCUAACUCCUGAACUGUCCUAUGAAGCCACAGCCCCACCAUCUUAUAAGAGCAUCAGGAAUAAAUAAGGUCUGCUCCUCUGGGACUUAAUGAGGGGACACCAUUUCCACCAUAGCCUGGUUAAAUGAGCUGAACUGCUGCCCUAACUGAAGGAGGGCAGCAUUCACGUUGGCAGCUUGUGGCAUUCUCACCUCACCAGGAGAUGCCACUUUAACUGCCAUGGCUCUGAGCUCUGCUGAGCCUGGUGUCAGCACACCUUGCUGGAUGCAGAUGACUGCAAGGGUUUAACGCUCACUUCCUCACUCCUCUAACAAAAAACUUCUGUGAUUACUGACUACAAAAACUGUUUCAAGAAUUUUAUUCUUAGAAAUUCCUCUCCCAACGUUUAUGUUACCAUGUCUGAUCUGUCUGCAUGCUGCCUUGCAGCUGAUCUAGCAGGGGCAGCUACAAGAAUUGUGUACAAACUACAGCAAGCCUCAUGCUAAAAAUAAUUGCUGUCUUUACUGAUGCACACAAAAUAAAUGCUUCCAUUCACUCUGG
rnacentral:lncRNA from 1 species